ACGGUAAAAGUAAGUAAGUUAUUUUUGUUUUGUGAGCAAAAGGUUUCUUUUAAGAAUUACUGUGC
rnacentral:tRNA from 1 species